rnacentral:lncRNA from 1 species
AUUGAAAGAAGUCAACAGGAGGAACUUUAUCAAGAAGAUCAAAUGGAUAAGAAAAAACUAAUAUGUGUGUGGAUCCUCUGGGGGCGUCCGUUGGAAGAAAGCCGCUUGCGGGUACUAGGCUGCCCGUCGGGGUCGGAGAGUUUUCACCUAUUUCCACAUCCUCCCGGAGGAAAGUCCGUCCGCCUUCCGAUGUAUAGUCGCGUGGGUGUCUCAGACGUCCUGAGAUGCUGUCUGGAUAUCCUUUGUCAAGCGAUAAG